rnacentral:rRNA from 1 species
GCUAUUUAUAUAAAUGGUGUAACCUGGUCAGUGGCUAAUAUAGUUUAACACACGCCUUAAAAUGAGGGUGAUAAUGUAGCAUAAUAAAUUGACAUUUAAUUGGUGUAUUGUAUGAAUGGUUAAAUGUUUCUGAAAUUGUCUCAAAUAGUUAUACUAAAAAAUUUGAUUAGUUAUGAAGAUAUAUCUAUAAAAGUAUAAGACGAAAAGACCCCAUAAACUUUUACUCCAAAUAAUAUGUUUAGCUGGGACGGCUUCUUUUUAAAAAAACAAAAGAAUAAAUUUUCUUUUCUAAUAAGAAUUAUAAGACCAUUUCCUUUAAAAAAGGAAAUAUUAUAAAAUAAAAAGUACUUUGGGGGUAACAGAGUAAUAUUACUUUAAAGAUGUUAUUUAGUGUGAUGAUUACUACCUCGAUGUUGAAUUGAAGUAACCUAUAGGUGCAGAAGCCAUAAAGGUUGGACUGUUCGUCCAUUAAAAUUUU